GCGACCUCUAGCCACUUCCGGUUGCUAACGGUUCCCAAUCAGCCCCCGAAAACGCUACGUGAGCUGGGCCCUGGGCCAGAGGCAGAAAACGGACGGAAGAAAAGGUCUGGCCGGAGAUGGGUCUCACUCUGUCACCCAGACUGGAGUGCAGUGAGUGGUGCGAUCAUAGCUCACUGCAGCCUGAAACUCCUGGGCUCAAGUGAUCCUCUCGCCUCAGCCUCCUGCGUAGCUGGAACUACAGGCCUCUGACAAUAUGAUACUAAGCCAUCAUAGCCCCUGUGACCGCCACAUACACAUCCAGAUGACCUGGAGCAACUGAAGAACCACAAAAGAUGGCAUUCCAUCAUUGAGAUUUGUUCCUGCCUCACCCCAACUAAUCAGUCGACCUUGUGACAUUCCCCCUGCCCCCGACAGUGAGUCUCAUGAUUUCCCUACCCUGCACCUUGUGACCCCCGCCCCUGCCCACAAGAGAUAACCACCUUUAACUGUAAUUUUCCACUAUCUACCCAAAUCCUAUAAAACUGCCCCACCCCUAUCUCCCUUUGCUGACUCUCUUUUUGGACUCAGCCCACUUGCACCCAAGUGAAAUAAACAGCCUUGUUGCUCACACAAAGCCUGUUGGUGCACUCUCUUCACACAGACUCACGUGACAUUUAUAGAACACAAAAUUAAGAAUAAUGAAUAUGAAAAGGUUCACUAAUAAGAAUUUAAACAAAACAAAGAUUUUUAAGAUUGCUAAAGACAAAUGAUUUAUACUAUUCAGUGUUAGGAGGUGUGUGGAUAUACAGGCAUACUUAGUUGUACAUUUUUAGAAGGUUAAACUUAUUUAGAAGGUAAGAAGUUGUCCAUACCCCUUGAUACAACAACUUAGCUUCUUGGAAUUAUCCAUAUAGAAAUGCUUACAUAAAUGUUUGAACAUAUGUACAAAGAAGCACUGUUUAUUUAAAUUUGGAAACUCGAAUGCCUAACAUUUGGAAUUUAAAUUUCUAUAUGUCUAUUCAUUAAAAUACCACCCAGUUUUUAGAAACUAAGAGAUGCUAAAGGUAUAUUGAG